CUAAUCAUAAUAUAUUUAAAGAAAAAACACAACCGUUGCAAAACAUCGUCCUUGGGGGAUUACUCGGAACUAUUGCUGUGCUUGUUGUUGGGAUAGGAAUUCUUUUUUUUCACAUAAAACGGAAGAACAAACAGAGAAUUUUAUCUACAAUUAAUCUCGAAACUCCAAUGGGAAAUGAUGAUGAAAGUGGUCAUUAUAUGGAGAUAUAUAUGAUAGAUGAGAACAUAGUGACGCCAUGGCAAGCAAACAGUAAUCCGGUUAUACCAACAGUCGAAAGAGCAGUUGUCGAAAGCAGAGAUAUAGCUCUGGCGUCUGCAGGACAUUCAUCAACAUCAUCCGACAAUGACAGAAAUGCUUUUGGAGAUUUGAACGAUGGUUAUGAGCAUCCAUACAACACACUGUUGGUAAAUAAUCGAGAUGAAGACGAACAUGUUUAUCUCACUCCAAACGAGACGUCAAACAAUGAAAAUGCAACUCCUGUAAAGGAUGCUGCUUGUGGAUGUUCAUAUGAAUUCACAGAACAAGAUUCUUUGCCAGAUCAAACAAAAACACAUUGUUGUACAAAUGAUGGUGAAGAAAAUAAUGAAUCGGAAUUAUAGUGAGAGCGAUUUCAAGAAAACAGAUAACGAUUUUCGUCGGUCACACAAAUAUUAACAAAAGAACAGAAGAGAAUAUUUUACUCUGUCACUAAAACAGUUAACUAAAAACUGAUACUAUAAAUUCUGUGGAAUUCUAUCUUUUUAUU